rnacentral:rRNA from 1 species
GCCAGCCCGCUCAGAAACUCAAAGGAAUUGACGGGGCCCGCACAAGCGGUGGAGUAUAUGGUUUAAUCGAUGCAACGCGAAGAACCUUACCUGGUCUUGACAUCCCGGAGACCCUUAGGAAACUAGGGGGUGCUUCCAUCUGGAAGAAUCUGGAGACAGGUGCUGCAUGGCUGUCGUCAGCUCGUGUCGUGAGAUGUUGGGUUAAGUCCCGCAACGAGCGCAACCCUUGCCUUUAGUUGCCAGCAGUUCGGCUGGGCACUCUAAAGGGACUGCCGGUGUUAAACCGGAGGAAGGUGGGGAUGACGUCAAGUCCUCAUGGCCUUUAUGACCAGGGCUACACACGUACUACAAUGGCCGAUACAAAGGGCAGCGACACUGCGAGGUGAAGCCAAUCCCGUAAAAUCGGUCUCAGUCCGGAUUGGAGUCUGCAACUCGACUCCAUGAAGUUGGAAUCGCUAGUAAUCGUGGAUCAGCAUGCCACGGUGAAUGCGUUCCCGGGUCUU